UUUAAAGAAAGCGUAAUAGCUCACUAGUCGAGUCGGCCUGCGCGGAAGAUGUAACGGGGCUCAAACUGGUCACCGAAGCUGCGGCUGCAUACUUUGUAUGCGGGGUAGGGGAGCGUUCUGUAAGCCUGCGAAGGUGUGUUGAGAAGCAUGCUGGAGGUAUCAGAAGUGCGAAUGCUGACAUGAGUAACGACAAUGGGAGUGAAAAACUCCCACGCCGGAAGACC
rnacentral:rRNA from 13 species